AUGGCAACUUCUGAUGAGAAUGUUCCGAGGACCCUAUUUUACGCCGAGUUGUGGUGCGUAACACGCAAGCCAAGGACAGCAGCAUUCUGCUGCCCUCUGCCCUAUGCAUAUGCGGGACGUUGCUACUACGACAUGAUUUGCGCAAGGAAGAUUGUGUAUCCAGAUGACGCCAAGUACAUUGACGAUGAUAUCACCCAUAAGGGAACCCGCAGCGUGGAUUUCAUGCUAGAGAUGGACCUCGUGCACUUCAGUUCCGAGUUGGACGUGGAGCUCGCGCGGAAUUUGAACAUGCCGGAUUCACAGGAUGAGCCGAAUGAGCCCAGUUCAGAUUCUUCAUGGGCGCCGGAUGAGAGCAGUCCAGAUUCAGAUUCAGAGGAUGAGUCUGUGCCUCUGGAUGAGUGA
rnacentral:rRNA from 1 species